GCUAAUUAUCCUGGUGGAAAGUCAGAUUUUCCUUCCAGUGGAAUUACCUUGGUGGCUGAGAAGUGAAUUUCCCUCAGCUCUGCACUGGUGUUGCAGCUCCUGGUGUGGGAGCAGGAGCAGAGGCUUCCCACACCUCUCCUGGGCUGGGCAUGGAGCUGGAGCUGCUGGGAGCCCCAUGGAAAAGUGGAUCAGGGUGGAAGGAGCUGGUCCUUGGGAAAGGACCAUGGAAGUUUUGGGAAGCCAGCACAGAAGAUUUGGAGCAGCUGGUGGGAGAUUGCCCUGAGUGUUUCCUACAAACUGAAUUUUCCUAAUUCAAGGCCUAGCUGGGAGUCAAAAGCAUUCUGUGAGGUGGAAGUCCCUGGGAGCAGCAGAAAAUCACGUUGGAAUGUGGAUUUCUGAAUGAGGGAAUGGCUCCUAAAGCUUGGCCAAACCCUUUCCUCUUUCCCCUGCUGCGCUGGGCUUGUAUCUCCUGAAGCAUCUACAAUAUACUAAUUUCCAAAAAUUUCACUUUGUCAAGCUCUCCUUUGAUUCUUCCCUUCCUUCCAAAUUCCAGUUUUCCCCCUCACCAGGGAAAUAAUCCU